UACGGAGGGUGCAAGCGUUAUCCGGAUUCACUGGGUUUAAAGGGUGCGUAGGCGGGCAUGUAAGUCUGUGGUGAAAUCUCCAAGCUUAACUUGGAAACUGCCAUGGAUACUAUAUGUCUUGAAUGUUGUGGAGGUUAGCGGAAUAUGUCAUGUAGCGGUGAAAUGCAUAGAUAUGACACAGAACACCAAUUGCGAAGGCAGCUCGCUAAACUGUUACUGACGCUGAGGCACGAAAGCGUGGGGAGCAAACAGG
rnacentral:rRNA from 1 species